UGGGAAGUAUUGCACAAUGGGAAGACCUUGAUGCAGCGACGCCGCGUGAGUGAAGAAGUAUUUCGGUAUGUAAAGCUCUAUCAGCAGGGAAGAUGAUGACGGUACCUGAGUAAGAAGCCCCGCGACAUACGUGCCAGCAGCCGCGGUAAUACGUAGGGGGCGAAGCGUUAUCCGGAUUUACUGGGUGUAAAGGGAGCGUAGACGGCAUGGCAAGUCUGAAGUGAAAGCCCGGGGCUCAACCGCGGGACUGCUUUGGAAACUGUUAAGCUGGAGUGCAGGAGAGGUAAGUGGAAUUCCUAGUGUAGCGGUGAAAUGCGUAGAUAUUAGGAGGAACACCAGUGGCGAAGGCGGCUUGCUGGACGAUGACUGACGUUGAGGCUCGAAAGCGUGGGGAGCAAACAGGAUUUAGAUACCCC
rnacentral:rRNA from 1 species